GUGGCGGACGGGUGAGUAAUGUCUGGGAAACUGCCUGAUGGAGGGGGAUAACUACUGGAAACGGUAGCUAAUACCGCAUAACGUCGCAAGACCAAAGAGGGGGACCUUCGGGCCUCUUGCCAUCGGAUGUGCCCAGAUGGGAUUAGCUAGUAGGUGGGGUAACGGCUCACCUAGGCGACGAUCCCUAGCUGGUCUGAGAGGAUGACCAGCCACACUGGAACUGAGACACGGUCCAGACUCCUACGGGAGGCAGCAGUGGGGAAUAUUGCACAAUGGGCGCAAGCCUGAUGCAGCCAUGCCGCGUGUAUGAAGAAGG
rnacentral:rRNA from 2 species